CCCGUAAACCGUAGCUCAGUUCAGAUCGUAGGCUGCAACUCGCCUACGUGAAGGAGGAAUCGCUAGUAAUCGCAGGUCAGCAUACUGCGGUGAAUACGUUCCCGGGCCUUGUACACACCGCCCGUCACACCAUGGAAGUUGGCCACGCCCGAAGCCGUUACUCCAACCCUCGGGAGGAGGACGUCGAAGGUGGGGCUGAUGACUGGGGUGAAGUCGUAACAAGGUAUCCGUACUGGGAGGUGCGGAUGGAUCACCUCCUAA
rnacentral:rRNA from 1 species